rnacentral:rRNA from 1 species
CCAAGAUGAGGUUUCUCUCCCACUUGAUGGGUUAAGGCCCCCUACAGACCAUGGGGUUGAUAGGCCAGAAUUGGAAGCCAGGUAACUGGUGUAGGUGACUGGUACUAAUAGGCCGAGGGCUUACUAC